rnacentral:rRNA from 1 species
ACGCCCAACACACAAAACAAGCGGUGAGUGCUUUGGGGUGGGGUGACUGCGUACCUUUUGUAUAAUGGGUCAGCGACUUAUAUUCUGUAGCAAGGUUAACCGUAUAGGGGAGCCGAAGGGAAACCGAGUCUUAACUGGGCGUUAAGUUGCAGGGUAUAGACCCGAAACCCGGUGAUCUAGCCAUGGGCAGGUUGAAGGUUGGGUAACACUAACUGGAGGACCGAACCGACUAAUGUUGAAAAAUUAGCGGAUGACUUGUGGCUGGGGGUGAAAGGCCAAUCAAACCGGGAGAUAGCUGGUUCUCCCCGAAAGCUAUUUAGGUAGCGCCUCGUGAACUCAUCUUCGGGGGUAGAGCACUGUUUCGGCUAGGGGGUCAUCCCGACUUACCAACCCGAUGCAAACUGCGAAUACCGAAGAAUGUUAUCACGGGAGACACACGGCGGGUGCUAACGUCCGUCGUGAAGAGGGAAACAACCCAGACCGCCAGCUAAGGUCCCAAAGUCACAGUUAAGUGGGAAACGAUGUGGGAAGGCUCAGACAGCCAGGAUGUUGGCUUAGAAGCAGCCAUCAUUUAAAGAAAGCGUAAUAGCUCACUGGUCGAGUCGGCCUGCGCGGAAGAUGUAACGGGGCUAAACUGUGCACCGAAGCUGCGGCAGCGACGCUUAUGCGUUGUUGGGUAGGGGAGCGUUCUGUAAGCCUGCGAAGGUGUCCUGUGAGGGAUGCUGGAGGUAUCAGAAGUGCGAAUGCUGACAUAAGUAACGAUAAUGCGGGUGAAAAGCCCGCUCGCCGGAAGACCAAGGGUUCCUGUCCAACGUUAAUCGGGGCAGGGUGAGUCGACCCCUAAGGCGAGGCCGAAAGGCGUAGUCGAUGGGAAACGGGUUAAUAUUCCCGUACUUGGUGUUACUGCGAAGGGGGGACGGAGAAGGCUAUGUUGGCCGGGCGACGGUUGUCCCGGUUUAAGCGUGUAGGCUGGUUUUCC